CUACGGGUGGCUGCAGUGGGGAAUAUUGCACAAUGGAGGAAACUCUGAUGCAGCAACGCCGCGUGGAGGAUGACACUUUUCGGAGCGUAAACUCCUUUUAUAUAGGAAGAAGAUGACGGUACUAUAUGAAUAAGCGCCGGCUAACUCCGUGCCAGCAGCCGCGGUAAUACGGAGGGCGCAAGCGUUACUCGGAAUCACUGGGCGUAAAGAGCGUGUAGGCGGAUUAAAAAGUCAGAAGUGAAAUCCUAUAGCUUAACUAUAGAACUGCUUCUGAAACUCUUAAUCUAGAAUGUGGGAGAGGUAGAUGGAAUUUCUGGUGUAGGGGUAAAAUCCGUAGAGAUCAGAAGGAAUACCGAUCGCGAAGGCGAUCUACUAGAACAUUAUUGACGCUGAGACGCGAAAGCGUGGGGAGCAAACAGGAUUAGAUACCCCUGUAGUC
rnacentral:rRNA from 1 species